rnacentral:ncRNA from 1 species
AACAAAAAGUUUUGGUCCUAAACUUACUGUUAUUUUUAACCAAGAUUAUACAUGCAAGUAUCCGCAUUCCAGUGAAAAUGUCCAUUCAAAUAUUAGGAACAGGUAUCAGGCACGAACACUCAGCCCAAAACACCUUGUUUUACCACACCCCCACGGGUAAUCAGCAGUAACAAAAAUUAAGCUAUAAGCGACCAAUUUUAUAAAGCUAGACUUAGCCAUGGUUAAUAGAGCCGGUCAACCUCGUGCCAGCCACCGCGGUUAUACGAAGGGCCCAAAAUAACAGACUGCGGCGUAAAUAGUGACUAAAAUAUUUACUAAUAAUAAGAAACAAACAUAAAUCCUAACCGUAAAAUCUGGGGUUAAUGAAGCCCUCUUUCUUUCAAUAAGGUUAUUUGAUUCACGAAAGCUAGGAAACAAACUAGGAUUAGAUACCCUACUAUGCCAAGCUGUAAAUUAACAACAUAAAACUUAUAGUGUCCGCCAGAAUAUUACGGGCGAAAAGCCUAAAACUCAAAAGACUUGGCGGUGCUUCACACACGAUUUAGAGGGGCCUGUCCUAUAAUCGAUACUCCACGAUAAACCUAACCUGCCCUUGCUAGACUAGCCUAUAUACCGCUGUCCAUAAUUUACACUGUGAAGAUAUUAUAGUAAGUAAAAAAGUCUAACACAAGAAAGUCAGGUCAAGGUGUAGCUUAUGAGGCGGAAGAGAUGGGCUACAUUUUUUAAAAUAAAACACACGACAAGAUAUUUUGAAACACGCAUCUAAAGGAGGAUUUAAUAGUAAAAUAAACAAGAAGGCUUAUUUUAAACACGCCCUGAAGCACGCACACACCGCCCGUCACCCUCCUCAACAACCCUAAAUAAUUUAUAAUAAAAACAACCAAAAAGAUGAGGUAAGUCGUAACAUGGUAAGUGCACUGGAAAGUGUACUUGGAUAAACAAAGAGUAGCUUAAACUAAAGCAUUCAGCUUACAAUUGAAUAAUGCUAGAGCCUCUUUGCGCUAAAAUAUAGCCUAAUAAAACUAGCAAAACAAAGCAAAACAUACAAAACAAACCAUUUGAUAAGUUUAGUAGAGGAGAUC